GAGUUUCAAAUUGACAUUCUAGACAAGCGGUGCCUGAGCCCGUGCCUGUCUUCAGAUCUUCACAGCACAGUUCCUGGGAAGGUGGAGCCACCAGCCUCUCCCUGGGCAAAGAGGCAGAGGAAUGGAGCUCAGAGCUUUUAGAGAAUAUGGGCCAGAAACAGGAAGGAGUCAGGGCCUGAUAACGGGAACCAGCGGACAGUGAACGCAGUGGAGGGCCACUGGAGCCGGAGCAGCCGAGAGAUUUCAGGAGAAUAACUGGGAGAUGAAACAGGAAGCUCUAUGACACACUUGAUCGAAUAUGACAGACACCGAAAAUCACGACUCAGCCCCCUCCAGCACCUCUACCUGUUGCCCGCCGAUCACAGCCGGAAUGCAGCUGAAAGAUUCCCUGGGGCCUGGUUCCAACCGCCCACUGUGGACUCUGAGGCCUCUGCAUUUGCGGGUGGUCUGCCUGUGAUAUUUUGGUCAUGGGCUGGUCUGGUCGGUUUCCCAUUUGUCUGGCCAGUCUCUAUGUGUCUUAAUCCCUUGUCCUUCAUUAAAAGCAAAACUAAA
rnacentral:lncRNA from 1 species